CUGACUUGCAGAACGUACAGAACCCUUUCUUGUGGCCUUUUGUCUGCACGUGACCACGUUCUUUGGAGAAUCUGCACAAUGAGUGACCAGGAAAGCAGCGUCUUUAAAGGACUCCAUUAUCACGCCCUCUACCUCCCCGGUCAGUACUUCGAGGGGUCCU